rnacentral:rRNA from 1 species
GAUGAACGCUGGCGGCGUGCCUCAAACAUGCAAGUCGAGCGGGGCUAUGUAAUAUCGCAAGGUAGAACAUAGCCUAGCGGCGAACGGGUGAGUAACACGUGGGUAACCUGCCUGGAAGACAGGGAUAACGAUUCGAAAGGGUCGCUAAUACCUGAUAAUAUCCUUUCAUCGCAUGGUGAUAGGAAGAAAGGGGAAACCCGCUUUCAGAUGGGCCCGCGUCCCAUCAGCUAGUUGGUAAGGUAAGGCUUACCAAGGCGACGACGGGUAGCCGGUCUGAGAGGAUGUACGGCCACACUGGGACUGGGAUACGGCCCAGACUCCUACGGGAGGCAGCAGUUGGGAAUCUUAGGCAAUGGACGAAAGUCUGACCUAGCGACGCCGCGUGAGGGAAGAAGGGCCUUCGGGUUGUAAACCUCUGUCAGUGGGGAAGAAGUAAGUGACGGUACCCAAGAGGAAGCCCCUGCUAACUACGUG